GAACGCUGGCGGCGUGCCUAAUACAUGCAAGUCGAGCGAACAGAUAAGGAGCUUGCUCCUUUGACGUUAGCGGCGGACGGGUGAGUAACACGUGGGUAACCUACCUAUAAGACUGGAAUAACUCCGGGAAACCGGGGCUAAUGCCGGAUAAUAUUCAGAACCGCAUGGUUCUAAAGUGAAAGAUGGUUUUGCUAUCACUUAUAGAUGGACCCGCGCCGUAUUAGCUAGUUGGUGGGGUAAUGGCUUACCAAGGCAACGAUACGUAGCCGACCUGAGAGGGUGAUCGGCCACACUGGAACUGAGACACGGUCCAGACUCCUACGGGAGGCAGCAGUAGGGAAUCUUCCGCAAUGGGCGAAAGCCUGACGGAGCAACGCCGCGUGAGUGAUGAAGGUCUUCGGAUCGUAAAACUCUGUUAUUAGGGAAGAACAAAUGUGUAAGUAACUGUGCACGUCUUGACGGUACCUAAUCAGAAAGCCACGGCUAACUACGUGCCAGCAGCCGCGGUAAUAC
rnacentral:rRNA from 1 species